rnacentral:rRNA from 1 species
AUUGAACGCUGGCGGCAUGCCUUACACAUGCAAGUCGAACGGCAGCACGGGAGCAAUCCUGGUGGCGAGUGGCGAACGGGUGAGUAAAGUAUCGGAACGUGCCCAGUCGUGGGGGAUAACGUAGCGAAAGUUACGCUAAUACCGCAUACGAUCUAUGGAUGAAAGCGGGGGAUCGCAAGACCUCGCGCGAUUGGAGCGGCCGAUAGCAGAUUAGGUAGUUGGUGGGGUAAAGGCCCACAAAGCCGACGGACUGUAGCUGGUCUGAGAGGACGACCAGGCACACAGGGACUGAGACACGGCCCAGACUCCUACGGGAGGCAGCAGUGGGGAAUUUUGGACAAUGGGCGAAAGCCUGAUCCAGCCAUGCAGCGUGAAGGAUGAAGGCCUUCGGGUUGUAAACUGCUUUUGUACGGAACGAAAAGGACUGCCCUAAUACGGUGGUCCCAUGACGGUACCGUAAGAAUAAGCAUCGGCUAACUCCGUGCCAGCAGCCGCCGUAAUAC